rnacentral:rRNA from 1 species
UCUGGUUGAUCCUGCCAGUAGUCAUAUGCUUGUCUCAAAGAUUAAGCCAUGCAUGUCUAAGUAUAAAUAGUAUACAGUGAAACUGCGAAUGGCUCAUUAAAACAGUUAUAGUUUAUUUGAUAAUUGACAAUUACAUGGAUAACCGUGGUAAUUCUAGAGCUAAUACAUGCUUAAACGCCCGACUUUAUGGAAGGGUGGUAUUUAUUAGACUGAAGCCAAUAUUCCUUGUGUCUAUUGCGGUGAUUCAUAAUAACUGAUCGAAUCUCUUUUUGAGAUAAAUCAUUCAAGUUUCUGCCCUAUCAGCUUUCGAUGGUAGUGUAUUGGACUACCAUGGCAGUAACGGGUAACGAAGAAUUAGGGUUCGAUUUCGGAGAGGGAGCAUGAGAAACGGCUACCACAUCUAAGGAAGGCAGCAGGCGCGUAAAUUACCCAAUCCUGACUCAGGGAGGUAGUGACAAGAAAUAGCAAACCGGGAACCUCAUGGUUUCACGGUAUUGCAAUGAGAGCAAUUUAAAACCCUUAGCGAGAAUCGAGUGGAGGACAAGUCUGGUGCCAGCACCCGCGGUAAUUCCAGCUCCACUAGCGUAUAUUAAAGUUGUUGCAGUUAAAAAGCUCGUAGUUGAACCUCUGUCUGGGGCUAGUUUUGGCUUUGGUCAGGCUAGUUCUAGGCAUCCGCCUACAAGACUUAGAGGGCAUUCAGUUGUUCACUAGGAGGAGUAGGCAUUUUACUUUGAAAAAAUUAGAGUGUUUAAGGCAGGCAAUCGCCCGCAUAUAUUAGCAUGGAAUAAUAGAAUAGGACACUUUUCCAUUUCGUUGGUUAUUGGAAUCGUGUAAUGAUUAAUAGGGACAGUUGUGGGCAUUUGUAUUUAAUUGUCAGAGGUGAAAUUCUUGGAUUUAUUAAAGACAAACUAACGCGAAAGCAUUUGCCAAGGAUGUUUUCAUUAAUCAAGAACGAAAGUUAGGGGAUCAAAGACGAUCAGAUACCGUCCUAGUCUUAACUAUAAACUAUUCCGACUCAAUGUUUGACUGGCUUAUAUAACCAGUUGAGCGUUGUAUGAGAAAUCAAAGUCUUUAGGUUCUGGGGGAGUAUGGUUGCAAAGCUGAAACUUAAAGGAAUUGACGGAAGAGCACAACCAGGAGUGGAUUCUGCGGCUUAAUUUGACUCAACACGGGGAAACUUACCAGGUUAAAACAAUAGUGGGAUUGACAGUUUGAGAGCGCUUUCUUGAUUGGUUGGGUGGUGGUGCAUGGCCGUUCUUAGUUGGUGGAGUGAUUUGUCUGCUUAAUUGCGUUAACGAACGAGACCUUAACCUGCUUACUAGACUGGCGAUC